rnacentral:rRNA from 1 species
AGUGAACGCUGGCGGUAGGCCUAACACAGGCAAGUCGAACGGCAGCACAGGAGAGCUUGCUCUCUGGGUGGCGAGUGGCGGACGGGUGAGGAAUACAUCGGAAUCUACUUUUUCGUGGGGGAUAACGUAGGGAAACUUACGCUAAUACCGCAUACGACCUACGGGUGAAAGCAGGGGAUCUUCGGACCUUGCGCGAUUGAAUGAGCCGAUGUCGGAUUAGCUAGUUGGCGGGGUAGAGGCCCACCAAGGCGACGAUCCGUAGCUGGUCUGAGAGGAUGAUCAGCCACACUGGAACUGGAACACGGUCCAGACUCCUACGGGAGGCAGCAGUGGGGAAUAUUGGACAAUGGGCGAAAGCCUGAUCCAGCCAUACCGCGUGGGUGAAGAAGGCCUUCGGGUUGUAAAGCCCUUUUGUUGGGAAAGAAAUCCAGCUGGUUAAUACCCGGUUGGGAUGACGGUACCCAAAGAAUAAGCACCGGCUAACUUCGUGCCAGCAGCCGCGGUAA